GGAAUAUUGGACAAUGGGCGAAAGCCUGAUCCAGCGACGCCGCGUGGGCGAUGAAGGCCUUCGGGUCGUAAAGCCCUUUUCUGCGUGACGAGCAAGGACGGUAGCGCAGGAAGAAGCGUCGGCUAACUACGUGCCAGCAGCCGCGGUAAAACGUAGGACGCAAGCGUUAUCCGGAGUUACUGGGCGUAAAGGGCGUGUAGGCGGCUGUUCAAGUUCGUCGUGAAAGAUCCCGGCUCAACCGGGGGAGGUCGAGGGAGACUGAGCAGCUGGAGGACGGUAGAGGGACAGGGAAUUCCGGGUGUAGUGGUGAAAUGCGUAGAGAUCCGGAGGAACACCAGUGGCGAAGGCGCUGUCCUGGGCCGCACCUGACGCUGAGACGCGACAGCAUGGGGAGCGAA
rnacentral:rRNA from 1 species